ensembl:lncRNA
GAGAUUCGGGCGACUCGAGCAUGUGAAGGAGCUCAGAGUUGUCGAUCUCCAGCAGCAUCCCUGUGAUCUUUCCUGCUAGGCUUGGAUGCAUGUUCUGAAUAAGGGGGAACAGGCGCUCUCCUGACAAAACCAAAAUCAUUCAUAUAUUAAGAAAAAUCCUUCAUGACUUUAAACAUGCUUAAUACUUAAAGAAAUGGCAAAGUCACUUACCCAGCAUUUGCUUCUGCUCUUGUGGCGGGGCAGCAGCCAACAUGGAGGCAGUCAGGGGCUCCUGGCCCUGCACAUGGACAGCGGCCUGGACACAAAGAAACAAAAAAACUCAGCCACUGAAAACAAACUGUUGGGUAUAAAACCGCAGCAGUGUGUACCUGUGGCAUGCCGACCUGGGCUGGGGCCAUGUGCUGCUGGGGGUUACGAACUCCUGCUGAGUACUUGUACUGAGGGACGCCGCGCACAGGAGCAGCAGAGGGUGCUGCUGCAGCUGGGCGAGGAGCCAUGGGCUGAGUGGCUGUACAGAGAAAACAAAUCUAUGAAUAAGAGAACUGCAGGAAGGAAGUUGCAUGAGUCUCAGGUGACUGACCAACUCUCUGGGCGGAAAUCAUACGAGGCAUCUGAGCGGUGGGACGCAUCGCGCCAAAGGUCUGUGGACGAGGAGGCGAUGCCCGCACUGCAGUAGGCAUACUCUGGAAGUCUAUGGGCAAAAACAAUGUGUUACAGACAAGACAUGGCAAUUAUAUUAUAUAGUGAGUAGAGUGCAAAGUGUCUGACACGCACGUUGUGGCCUGACGUUUUGUGUGGCCCAACGUGGGCUGGGGCGCAGCUGUGCCAUCUGCCCCGCGGCAGGAUAGUAUGCCGCACGGUUCUGGGCCUGGGGUAUGGCUGCCAUGAAGUAUCCAGAGGGCGGGGCUGGCUGAUAGGGGUUGAUGACUGGAUUUGGAACAGCGCGCACACUGGCCAUACGCUGCAUGUACUGGUUGGUGAGGUGAGCCUGUCUCUCCUCUUUCCUCUGUGCCAAAGCCACAUACAAUGGCUUUGUAGCCACAAUGCGCCCAUUCAUUUCAGUCACUGCUUUAGUGGCUUCCUCUGGUGAGGAGAAGCACACAAAGCCAAAGCCUUUACUGCGACCACCUUCCAACAUGACCUGGAUAAGAAAACAUGUAUUCAGUACUUUGUAUUAUAAAACAGAAGGUUCAGCAUGGCUAACACUGAUACCUUUGCACUAGUGAUUGUGCCAAAUGGCGAGAACUCCUUUCGCAGCCGCUCAUCAUCGAUGCCAUCAUCAAGAUUCUUCACAUACAAGUUAACGCCCUGAGAGUAAACAGAUCUUUGCCAUCAGCAAUAUUAUAAUACAAAAUUACAGUAUGCCACUAAAUUUGCGAUUAAAAUAAAUGAACUGUCUGAAGGACACACUUAUCCCCAAAUUCCACUGAAGAGAAGUUGAGGCCCAUGAACUACAGUUACUGUUGCAGCCAUUUUGGCCAGUGCAUCUUACAAAAGGGUGCACUGAAUUUGACAAAGCUGCAGAUUUAUACAUUAUAACACAAUGCCAAACGUUAUGAACUGUCAGCCCACCUGGUAUCUUGUCAUUCUGUCUUGCUUCAUUUGCUCAAAUCGACGCCUGAGUUCAGUUUGACGCUCCAUCUUCUUCUGAGCUCGUCCCACAUAGAUUGGUCUGCCCUGGAACUCCUUUCCAUUCAUCUCAUCAACAGCCUGUGAAGAAACACAUCCAACUUAAAAUAAAACAGCCAUUUACCUUAUGAACAGUUUUGAAAAAGCACACACACCUUCUGUGCAUCCUCAUGCCUCUCAAAGCUGACAAAUCCAAAUCCGCGGGAUUUCCCUGUAGCAUCAGUCAUCACACGGAUACUGAGGGCAUUUCC